CCUACGGGUGGCAGCAGUGAGGAAUAUUGGUCAAUGGGCGCGAGCCUGAACCAGCCAAGUCGCGUGAGGGAAGACGGUCCUAUGGAUUGUAAACCUCUUUUGUCGGGGAGCAAAAGACGCCACGCGUGGCGUUCCGCGAGUACCCGAAGAAAAAGCAUCGGCUAACUCCGUGCCAGCAGCCGCGGUAAUACGGAGGAUGCGAGCGUUAUCCGGAUUUAUUGGGUUUAACGGGUGCGCAGGCGGAAGAUCAAGUCAGCGGGAAAAUUGAGAGGCGAACCCGCGUCGAGCCGUUGAAACUGGUUUUCUUGAGUGAGUUAGAAGGAUGCGGAAUGCGUGGUGUAGCGGUGAAAUGCAUAGAUAUCACGCAGAACUCCGAUUGCGAAGGCAGCAUACCGGCGCUCAACUGACGCUCAUGCACGAAAGUGUGGGUAUCGAACAGGAUUAGAUACCCUUGUAGUC
rnacentral:rRNA from 1 species